UACGGGGGGAGCAAGCGUUGUUCGGAUUUACUGGGCGUAAAGGGCGCGUAGGCGGCCUGUGCAAGUCAGUUGUGAAAUCUCCGAGCUUAACUCGGAACGGUCAACUGAUACUGCUCGGCUAGAGUGCGGAAGGGGCAACUGGAAUUCUUGGUGUAGCGGUGAAAUGCGUAGAUAUCAAGAGGAACACUUGCGGCGAAGGCGGGUUGCUGGGCCGACACUGACGCUGAUGCGCGAAAGCUAGGGGAGCGAACGGG
rnacentral:rRNA from 1 species